rnacentral:rRNA from 1 species
GACGAACCGAGCGAACGUUGUUCGGAAUCACUGGGCUUAAAGGGCGCGUAGGCGGGUGCUCAAGUCUGUGGUGAAAUCCUCCGGCUCAACCGGAGAACUGCCAUGGAUACUGGGUGUCUCGAGGGUGGUAGGGGUAUGCGGAACUAUCGGUGGAGCGGUGAAAUGCGUUGAUAUCGAUAGGAACUCCGGUGGCGAAGGCGGCAUACUGGACCACAUCUGACGCUGAGGCGCGAAAGCCAGGGGAGCGAACGGG